UUGUCUGUAAGCUCCACAGAUCGUGGCAAGACAAUUGAAUUGAUUGUGGACUUCUUGCCGGACAAUGAUGAGUAACUUAACAUGACUGUGUCAUGUGUGUA